rnacentral:rRNA from 1 species
GACGAACGCUGGCGGCGUGCUUAACACAUGCAAGUCGAACGGUGACCCAUCUUCGGAUGGUGAUCAGUGGCGAACGGGUGAGUAACACGUGGGCAACCUGCCCCUAGCUCUGGGAUAACUCCUCGAAAGAGGUGCUAAUACCGGAUAUCACUUCCCUGGACAUCCAGGGUGGUUGAAAGUUUUUCGGCUAGGGAUGGGCCCGCGGCCUAUCAGCUUGUUGGUGGGGUAAUGGCCUACCAAGGCGACGACGGGUAGCCGGCCUGAGAGGGCGACCGGCCACACUGGGACUGAGACACGGCCCAGACUCCUACGGGAGGCAGCAGUGGGGAAUAUUGCGCAAUGGGCGAAAGCCUGACGCAGCAACGUCGCGUGAGGGAUGACGGCCUUCGGGUUGUAAACCUCUUUCAGCAGGGACGAAGCGAAAGUGACUGUACCUGCAGAAGAAGCGCCGGCUAACUACGUGCCAGCAGCCGCCGUAACAC